rnacentral:rRNA from 1 species
UACGAAGGCCCCGAGCGUUAUCCGGAUUUAUUGGGCGUAAAGAGCGCGUAGGCGGCAUGGUACAUCUCCGGCUAAAUCCCAGAGCUUAACUUUGGAACUCCCGGAGAGAUGGCCAAGCUAGAGGGUGUGAGAGGUCUGUGGAACUCACGGUGUAGGGGUGAAAUCCGUUGAUAUCGUGGGGAACACCAAAGGCGAAGGCAGCAGACUGGCACAUUCCUGACGCUCAUAGCGCGAAAGCGUGGGGAUCAAAAAGG